AGAGGUGCCAAGGGGAGGGGGUUGCGGGGGCCAGAAAAGGGAUUGUGGAUUGCAAAUUAAUGAAAUUAACCUAAUCUUUCCCAUUCAGCGGCCCCGCCGCGGGCUGGCCGAGCUGGGCGGGCGUCCUAAUUACUCCGGUUAAUCUCAUUAAUUCCAUUGUGCGGCGCAGUUAACAACUCCUUGAGCCCGACCUCUCCGCCCCCACCCUUUUUUUUUCUCAGAUUGGGUCCUAUUAUUGGGUGCGAUUUCCUCUGCGAGAAACUCAAAUUCAUUGUGGCCAGUUUUACUUUGAGGCUACUUUUUCUCCCCACGCCGGAAUUUGUUUUGUUUUAGAAAAUGCGAGGGGCUGCGUCCUCUUUCAAGCAAGAUUAAAAAUUCCGCUUUUCCUCCGAGCCCCCAAACACUCACCGCCUAAUUUCACCUCAGUUUUUUUUUUAUCUUGAGGUUUUCUCCCGAGUGGAACUGGUUAACCCCACCCCAACCUUUUUGUUUUUGCAAAGGCCAAAAUUUCUAAAGGCAAAAACGACGAAAGAGGUGCGUUGUGGUUCUUAAAAUACAUGCAUAUAUGUAUUUUUUGGAGUCACUUUGGCUCUGAAAUCUACCAUAAGAACCCGUAGGCCCUUACACAGCGGACACCAAAUUCAGCCGCUAUUUAAAAUUCGCCACCAAGAGCAGCAUUCUAGAAGCGAUGAUUCCUGCUGCUCCCUGUGUGGGGGCCGGUAGGUUUAUGUUUGUUUGCUUUUUUUCUUUUCUUUGGUAAAAAUCGCUUUUGGAAAUGCGGUGUCUUCUCCCCCAUACUGUUUUUGUUUUCAAUCCCAAAACGGGGCUUUUGGGAUUCCUCACCCCAUUCCCCAACAACUGAGUCGAAUUUCCCCCCGUGCGUCUCGCCGGUUCCCCGACUGGGACAGGCCACCUAGCUGUCCUUCGCCCAACAGGCCCAGGCUGGACUCCCGGAGCCCCGGCGGCCUGGCCCAAGCCGGACUCUGCUCGCGGCAGGCGGCCGCGGUGAUUUGCGGGAUCCUCCGCGCGGCACGGCCGGUCCGCCGGAGGCGCAUCCAAGCCCACCACCGUGCGCAGGCGGCAGAGCGCCUUUCGAGAAGCCUCUCUCCCGGUCACAGAGCACAGCUCAUAAUCGGAUGCCCUCAAGAAGAUUUUUCGUGGCAUGGGCAAAAAGCCGGCGUGUCCUUUACAAAGACUUUCCCGAGAGACCUCGCCCCUCUGUGAAGUUCUGGAAGCAGUGAGGGGAGACAGGAAGCAACAGAGACCAGUUGGUGCGCAGUUGAGCCACCAAGCAGAGUGAGAUCUUCUUUAUAGAGAGACUGUCCGGGAGACAAAAUGUGAUUAAGAAAGAAGACUGGCCGGGAAAGACAGGAGGAGAGAGGACUUGAUGAAAUGGUCAUUGGACAAUACGUCAACUUCAAAUCUGGAUGCAAGGUGGAUAGCAGCUUAGAAGUCUGGAAUGUGUUUUAUUGUCACCGCACAUCUAGAUUUGGACCAGCCGCAUUUGGAUGAGUCCUCAGGAGCCACCUGUGGCUGGUGGCCACCCCGUGGAACAGCACAGGGAUUAGACCGUGAAACAAAGACAGGGGCGGGUUGAAAUCCCAACGCUUCCGCUUAUUAGAUUCGUGACUGUCAGGCAGAUCAUUUAAUCACCUUCAGUCUUCAUGUUUCCUAGACGGUAAGAUGGGAUUUGACCAGGGAAUCUAUCUCUUGGGUCGUUGUAAUGGUCUGUGUGAAGUGCCCUAUGGAGGGUCAUUCACUCAUUCACUCGUGGUGCUAAUUCGGUCAUUCUAUCUAUACAACAAGGAGGUGUGGAUGUGUGCCAGGUGGGACACUUGGCAGGGAGUGACCACCCCAUACAAGGGUUCUAUUUAUACUGAACAGCCCCGCCCCAAGCAAGUAUAGAUUAGGACCAACGCUGGCAACUCCUGUACUUAUGAUAAAUGCAUAAAGAAGAUGCUGGAAAGAAGAGAUUGCCUGUCUGUUGUGAUGACUCCGAGCUCAAAGACAGACCAUUCUGAGUGCCCAGAUCAACCCAAGGACUUAAUUAUUCAAUGGUGUUCACCUUACACAUGUUAGUGCACUGAGCGGCCUGGAAUUGUAGCAGUUACAAAAGACGGCAGGACCAGGGUAGAGAAGCUUGAAGCUGAGCCAGCCAAGGAGUUCGUGUUUGUGGGAGGCAGGAAGGGGCCAGCGGAAGACCAAUAAGACAGUGGGGAGGGGCAGAGAAAUGGGACAAGGCCCAUGGUGAGGCCAUGCUAUGGACCAAGCGACCAGGAAGGUGCUAGAAUUAAAGGGGGAGAUGCUGUUGCUAAGAGGACAGACCACGCCUAUGAAGGUCAGAUAUCAAGAGAAGGGCCUGGGAAGUUUGGGGGCCUGGGCUGCAAGGGUAGGGUUGAGAGGGUGGGGAGG